rnacentral:rRNA from 1 species
UACGUAGGGUGCAAGCGUUAAUCGGAAUUACUGGGCGUAAAGCGUGCGCAGGCGGUUUUGUAAGUCUGUCGUGAAAGCCCCGGGCUCAACCUGGGAAUUGCGAUGGAGACUGCAAGGCUUGAAUCUGGCAGAGGGGGGUAGAAUUCCACGUGUAGCAGUGAAAUGCGUAGAAAUGUGGAGGAACACCGAUGGCGAAGGCAGCCCCCUGGGUCAAGAUUGACGCUCAUGCACGAAAGCGUGGGGAGCAAACAGG